UCCGUGUUAAAGGGCUCCGGCUGUCAGGCCCAAUUAGAAGCUUUGACUGCGUUGCGUCAACCAUGAGCGUUGGUCGUACGUGAGAAGUCAUAUAUAUAUAUAUAUAUAUAUAAAGGAGGAAGAUGGUGUGGAUUCCUCUUCCACCCAUGAAACUCAAGAUCAAUAUGGCUCUCAAAGUUUCUACUGCCAUUGUAUUUGGCUUCAUUGCGUUUCUCGUCCUCGCUAAUCCUGUAAUUGCUUCCCGAUAAAUCGAGAGAGUUCUUAGUGAGACUAUAGCCCCAUCGAGCAGUGUUGCCAUCCGAAGCCCUUCUCCCGAGUACAAGUUGACUUUCAUCGGAAGCCCGUCCGCUGGAGCCGGCCAACCUCAAUUCUUGUUAGAUUUUGGUGGAAGCCCGUCCCCGGGGGCUGGAGUACUCUCAUAACAUGGCGAGGCAAGGAUCAUGAUAUAUAGUUCAUGAAUAUUUCAGUUCGGAUCAUCCAAAUAAACAAACAACAGCCUUUGUAUGAUAUGUUUGCAUUCUGUACUUACGUUAAGCAUGCAUGCAUGCAUGCAUGGUUCUUCCACCAAAUAUCGUUCAUACACACAAUCAUAAUAUUAUUGAUAUAUAUAUCCCCAUUCUGUCUCUAGUCUACCGUCGUUUGUUGUCGUGAGUCGUCAAUAAGAGAUCAUUUCAUCAGAUCUGGCAAUUGUUUCUUAAUGUCCAAAGUCUCUAGUCUAGAUCGAUGUGAUCACCAAAGGCUUAAGUAUAUAUAAAAGAUAUAUCUGGCAUUUGUUUC